CAUUUUUAGCACAUGAUCCUUUAUACAUUAAAUACUAUAAUAAUGCUUGAUUGAUUCAGUUUCUUUCAUAGUGGAUUUACACUCAAAACGUCUUUGUCUUUAUAUUAUGUGUUGUACACAACAUUUUAGAAAAAUAAAGAAAAAAUAAACAACGGAGAAGCUGACCAUUGGUUAGGUAGAAUUUUUCUCCAAAUUACUGCAGUGCCAGAGGAACGGAGAGCCAGGACAAAAUACAAGUUUGUUUAUUAAGCAGACACAAAAAAACGUCUAUGGAAAGAAUUACAAUGUAAACCCUAAUGGAAUGCACUAUUUUUGAAACUAUUCCAAAACAUUGUAUUAUAUUUACCUCACAAUAUUUAUGAUAUAUUUAUUUUCCAAUAAUCUAUGUCAACAAUUGCCCUGUUGAUACCUGAAAUGUUAUUUUUGAAUAGGAAUGUUGCAUUACAGAUAUCUGCAAUAGAUCUCCAGUCUAGCUCUACGUGUCAUCCUGGACAUGUCUUCCACCCACUCCAUGGUGUGUCCCCGGUCUACAUACAUUAAAGUGUAAUGUAUUAUGUAUUAUUGCACAAUAUUUGUGCAAUAAUUCAAUAAUACAACUCUGCAAUACUGUGUGCUAUGAUUCAACUCUACAAUACGCUAUUCCUUCAUUUUAAAACAGUCUAAGCCCAUUUCUCAACAUCAAUAUUUCUUUGUUGUAAGAUUGUUAUAUUGUUGUUUUAUGUUGUAGCCUAUAUAAUACAAAGUCGAGUGCAUAUUUGUAUAACCUUAUUUCUUAUUUAGUAUUUUCUUUUUAUUUUUCUAUUCUUAUAUUUAGAUUAUAGGGAGAUGGCAACUCUAACGUGAAUCAGGUACGCACCAAUAAAAUAUUUCUGAUUGUGCUUCUGAUUGGUUUGAUGUAAUUCCUGGUCAUCCUGCGGGGGGCAGUGUCACAUGUCGACGCUUUUAACCACUGGCCACCCCGGCAAGAAGAAGACCAAGAAAUGGUACAGACCAGACUUUAGAAGGCUUUAGCGGGAACCCCUCCUCAGCUCAGUGGUACGGUCCAGGCGACCAGAAGCCAUACAGUGUUGUUGUUGUUCAUUUUAAAUGCAUUUCACUAUUAUGGAGGAAAUGCUGGUCUGAAAGCUUGAGGCGGCGCCGUUCAUAAUAGCGAUGGGACCCAAGAAGCAGGGACCCAGGAUGGCUGAAGCUCCUCUCCAUCUGGCCGAGAAACGUUUGGAGCCUGAGAGCCUGGACGAGUCCAGCAUAGAGCGGGCCAGUAUCCUGGAUAGAUUACCACACGGCACUUCUGAUUACCCUCUCCACAGCACGGCUCUGGAGGAAGACCUCAGACUCCCGGAGGACGAGGAGGAGGAGGUGUCCCGACCCGCUGAGAAGGUGGAAAAGAAAGUGGGAGGAAGAGCAGGAGGUCCCGGGAAGGCUGCACCGUCCGCGGGGGCCAAGCAGAGGCCAGCGGCGUCCCCCAGGAGUCAGGAAGGCCCCGGGCCGGGAGACAGGAGCGGGAGGAAGAGGAAGAGUGUUUGGGAGAAAGAGGCGGCUGGGAGAGGGGGGAAGCCCGCCCGAAAGAAGGCAGGAGGGAUCACGGAGGAGGAGAGGAGAAGGAAAGGCCCAGGCUUAGGGAGGGUGCCUGGUCCUCGCCCCGCCAGAGGGAGCCGGCCACCACCCCGAGCCCCAGCUCCCCGGGAGGCCUCACCUAGGGUCACAGCCCCAGAUAGACAGACGACUGCCAAGAGGGUUAGCCGGCAGCUGCAGCUGACGUUUGUAGCCAGACCAGGGAAGGAAGCGGGGGCAGAGGAGGAGGAGAGGAAGAGAGGGGGGAAAUCAGCAAACAGAAAGUCCAGCAGCUCAGAGACACCGUCCCCUGGUCCCAAGAGGGCCCGCACCAGGAAGUCCUCCUCCGGCCAGUCAGCUGACCGCCAGCGGCACUUAGCCAGGACGUCCUCCUCUCCAGAUGGCGGCGCUGAGCCCACUGUCUCACAGACAGACAGGCCAGGGGAGAGGUCCCGGGGGCCUGCAGGGGCCGACGCGUCCAUGGUGCUGCAAAGCUUCCUGUCCCUUUGCCAAACAUACAAGGAGUCUGUGGAGUCGACGGCCGUGCGACGCGCCAUCGACUCGUUCUCCUCUACCCUGGAGGGGCACCUCACUGAGCGGACCACCGCCUCCAAGGAGCUGCGGGUUCUGAAGAGGGACAACGCCAAGGUGAACUCAAAGAUCAAAGCAAAGACACAGAAACUGCUGGAUGCCAAGUAUGAGCGGUUCAGGGCGGAGCAGCAGCUGGGCUCGCUGAGGAAGGAGAAGGUGGAGCUGAGGCAGCGACUGGCCAACGUCCGGAGAGGCUUCUCCUUCCUGCAGGGCCUCGGAGACCUGACCACACGAUACCUGGCCCACAGACGGGCACACCCCUCGGAGAAAGAGCAGGAAAAAUCUGGCAACCCGUUCCCUCUUUAUCCAACCUGGGAAGAGCACUAUCGAACCAGACUCGGUCCUACUUGGGCCUUCACGGGACAGUCGGCAGGAUUUUAAUGUCGACUGCCGGUGGCGGAGGCGGCAACGCUCCCUAUUCCGGCGUUCCCGGGAAUAGCUUGACAACAAAUAGGCAGAGCAGUUUGGGUCGUCCAGUCUGCCUGCCCUGCUGGUAGAGACCAAGAGCCUCCUGAGAGCAGAGGACCACCUCCGAGACAACAACAAGCGGCUGGAGGCCGGGAUGAGAGAAUGAUGCAAUGAGGACGUCUGGGAACACCUGGCCGUGUUCAACGAAUGAAUCUAAUCCGAUCGUAUCUGGACGUCACUUAAGUGACCUGGAAAGCACACUAACAAUGUAUUAGUCUGCUAAAUUUCAAUGUUCAUUCAAAGGUCAGAAUUCAUUCUGACCUUUUCUUGUAUGCAUGUCUUGAUCCUACUCUUGAGCAGGAAAGCAAUUAAUCAUACCAUUCAUGUUGACGAAUUAAAGAAAAUGUAUGUGAAAUA